AUUGAACGCUGGCGGCAGGCCUAACACAUGCAAGUCGAACGAGGGGCGGACGGGUGAGUAAUGUCUGGGAAACUUCCUGAUGGAGGGGGAUAAUUACUGGAAACGGUAGCUAAUACCGCAUUCCAUCAGAUGUGUCCAGACGGGACCAGCUUGUUGGUGGGGUAACGGCUCACCAAGGUGACGAUCCCUAGCUGGUCUGAGAGGAUGACCAGCCACACGGGAACUAGGACACGGUCCAGGCUCCUGCGGGAGGCAGCAGUGGGGAAUAUUGCACAAUGGGCGCAAGCCUGAUGCAGCCAUGCCGCGUGUAUGAAGAAGGCCUUCGGGUUGUAAAGUACUUUCAGCGGGGAGGAGUUACCCGAAGAAGAAGCACCGGCUAACUCCGUGCCAGCAGCCGCGGUAAUAC
rnacentral:rRNA from 1 species